rnacentral:rRNA from 1 species
CACUUGGACUUAGAGUCCACUAAAGGGCCGUUGAAGACUACAACGUUGAUAGGCGAGAUGUGGAAGUGGUGUGAGCCAUUGAGCUAACUCGUACUAAUUACCCGUGAGGCUUAACCAUACAACGCCAAAGUGGUUU